CUGUGAAGAUGGCGUCGGGCAGCGGGACAAAAAACUUGGACUUUCGCCGAAAGUGGGACAAAGAUGAAUACGAGAAACUCGCGGAGAAGAGACUCACAGAAGAGAGAGAAAAGAAGGAUGGAAAACCAGUGCAGCCCGUCAAGCGGGAGCUUCUUCGGCACAGAGACUACAAGGUGGACUUGGAGUCCAAGCUUGGGAAGACAAUCGUCAUUACCAAGACAACCCCACAGUCUGAAAUGGGAGGCUACUACUGCAAUGUCUGUGACUGUGUGGUGAAGGACUCCAUCAACUUCCUGGACCACAUUAAUGGAAAGAAACAUCAGCGAAACCUGGGUAUGUCUAUGCGUGUGGAACGCUCCACUCUGGAUCAGGUAAAGAAACGUUUUGAGGUCAACAAGAAGAAGAUGGAAGAGAAGCAGAAAGAUUAUGAUUUUGAGGAAAGGAUGAAGGAACUGAGAGAAGAGGAGGAAAAGGCUAAAGCAUACAAGAAAGAGAAGCAGAAGGAGAAGAAAAGGAGGGCUGAGGAGGACUUGACGUUUGAGGAGGAUGACGAGAUGGCAGCUGUGAUGGGCUUCUCUGGCUUUGGCUCCGCCAAGAAGAGUUACUGAGGCAUUCUCUUGGGCCUAACUCUGGCCUAUACUGGACCUAACUUUGAGUGUGUGUUGAGGUUCUUGGAAGAACCUGUUUGAUGCAAAAAAGAAUGAAAACAAGACAAAAGAACCCUAAAACCAAACAAACUCUGGGGGACCUUGGUUCUCAGACACUGUUCAACGUGUACAAUAAAUGACACUGACUGGGCCUGUUUCACA